rnacentral:rRNA from 1 species
GUUUGAUCAUGGCUCAGGAUGAACGCUGGCGGCGUGCCUAACACAUGCAAGUCGAGCGAGGACUUCGGUCCUAGCGGCGGACGGGUGAGUAACGCGUGGGUAAUCUGCCUCAUACACACGGAUAACGUACCGAAAGGUACGCUAAUACGAGAUAAAGUUAAGAAAUGGCAUCAUUUCUUAAUCAAAGAAUUUCGGUAUGAGAUGAGCCCGCGUCCCAUUAGCUAGUUGGUAAGGUAAAAGCUUACCAAGGCGACGAUGGGUAGCCGACCUGAGAGGGUGAUCGGCCACACUGGAACUGAGACACGGUCCAGACUCCUACGGGAGGCAGCAGUGGGGAAUAUUGCACAAUGGGCGAAAGCCUGAUGCAGCAACGCCGCGUGAGCGAUGAAGGUCUUCGGAUCGUAAAGCUCUGUCCUCAAGGAAGAAUUUUGACGAUACUUGAGGAGGAAGCCCCGGCUAACUACGUGCCAGCAGCCGCGGUAAUACGUAGGGGGCUAGCGUUAUCCGGAAUUAUUGGGCGUAAAGGGUGCGUAGGCGGUCCUACAAGUCAGAGGUGAAAGGCUACGGCUCAACCGUAGUAAGCCUUUGAAACUGUAGGACUUGAGUGCAGGAGAGGAGAGUGGAAUUCCCAGUGUAGCGGUGAAAUGCGUAGAUAUUGGGAGGAACACCAGUUGCGAAGGCGGCUCUCUGGACUGUAACUGACGCUGAGGCACGAAAGCGUGGGGAGCGAACAGGAUUAGAUACCCUGGUAGUCCACGCCGUAAACGAUGAGUACUAGGUGUCGGGGGUUACCCCCCUCGGUGCCGCAGCUAACGCAUUAAGUACUCCGCCUGGGAAGUACGCUCGCAAGAGUGAAACUCAAAUGAAUUGACGG